GCAGGAGGGGCUCCAGUAACACGCCCCGUCCAUUUAUCGUACUGCCCAGAUGACUUAAGCAGCCCAGCUACACCGAAAGCGCUCUGCUGGUCUACAAGUCUUAUGAAGAAAUGUGCAAAGAAGAGAUAAAAGCAGGUCUGACAUCUUCCACAGAGGCCAAGCUGGUCAGGCUGGGGUCGCUUAGUUUGAAGGAACCGCCUCCCUUUUUUCACCUGUGCUUGGACUAAGAGCUGUGCCAGAUGCCCUGCUCAUCCAAUGUGGGAAAGAAAUGACCUUACACCAGCAGCUCUCCCAGAUGAAGAGUCCUCUCUGCCAUCACCCAGAGGAGCUGAUCGACGUCUGCACAACUGAAGAAGGUGAACAAAGUCUGGUGCUUUGUG